UUGCUGUGAUGACAGUCUUAGGACACCUUUGGAUUAACCAUGAAAAAAACCAUCUUCUGAGCAAC